AUAACCUCUUUGGAGACGAGGCAGGAUGACUCUUACGAGGCAAAUGAGAUGACAGAGCCAAAAGAAGGAUCCGGGGUCUCCCAGGAAGGCAGAACUGAAAGGUGCCAGGUGCACGGACCUCAGUACCCAGAAAGCAACGCGUUCAGCAGAGGCUCGCGAUCGGCUUCUUUCCACUCAGAGGAACUGAACGAGACCUGUGACUCCACCUUGAGACUGAAGCCGGGUUCCCGCCUAGCUUCUGGAUCCAACCACUCAUUUCCUCUUGCUUGACCUAAGCGUCAAAGAGGAGAAGCGUAAUGCUGAUAAGGUUUCCUCGUUCAUCUUUUAAGUGUCCGUAUGCGCCUUUGGAGAUGUGAAGCCCUCCUUGUAUGCUCACUUUCCUUCCAUUGACUGAACAGAAUCUGCACCACUCUGUAGCUCACCGAACUCCCUGGAAUCUCUUGUCAAGUGAUGGAGAGGAGCCCAUUACCUGCGGGGUUCUGGACAGCGGUUUGCACUUUGUGGGCCUGGGUGGAUGUCUAGUUUAUGACUUAAUGCCUGGCUGAGAGUUGAAUGCAAGAUCCCAAGGCUACCACAUAGCCUGUGGCUUGGAUCUAGGUGUCAAGGGACCUGUGAUUGGCUUAACCAAACUUAGCUUUUCAUCCUGUAGUAGAUUUCUGAAGCCUCCAAGGAGCUGUCACUCACUGUCUUUCCCAAGUAGGCAAGGAUGAGAGAGCUGUAGGCAGGCAGGAAGAGGAAAUGUGCAGCCUGUGAGUGGGUGUGCUCAAACAAGACAUCUAGGGUUACAUCCUCUCAUUAUGAUGAAUCAUGUAAAAUGACCAUUUUAAUGAUUAAGGAUUGUGUGGAGGGUCAUCUCAAAUGCAUCAGUCCAGCACGUUCACAGAAUAAGAGAUCUUUGCCCCAGAGCCCUCUCUCCAGCCAGGGCACCAGAGAUUUCCUCUGUCCCCACACCCUUCCUCUCUCCACCAGAUCUCCUUUCUCCAGUUCUUCCAUCCCAACUAACCACAAUGUUUAUCCCGUUCCCAGGAGACAGUAGUAUUUGAUGUGGUUUAUAAAUGUGGCCCUGUAGACUCAGUGGAAACAGCUCAGACAGGAAGCUAACAGCAUGAACACUUCAAGUUUCCAGUGAUGUCAGGAGGAGGAGGAAGAGACUGUGAUCUAUGCACGUCCCACAUAGGCUAAAGACCUUGGGAAUUCCUUCUCAGGGUCUGUCACUGAACCUGAAGUUCACAGAGGAGGCUAGGCUGGCCAACAGUUGAACCCUGGGGCACCUCCUGUUCUCACCUUCUCCAGCUCUGGGAUUACAGGGAUGGCAUUGUUCAUCAGGGAAUUCAGCUGCUGCCUUUAAGAAACAGGAUGGCUGCAGAGAUCCUUCACCAGUCAAAGCCCUUGUCACGCAAGUUUGAGAGCCAAAAUUUGGAUCCCCAGAAACCCCAGUACAUGCUGUAUGGACACGAAGGUUCAUUUGCAAUCCCAGCCUUGGGAGGUGGAGACAAGAAAUGGUCAGAGCAGUCUAGCUGUAUCAUGAGCUCUGGGUUUGAUUGAGAGGCCUUGCCUCAACAAAUAAGGUAGGAGAUCUCAGGCCUCCACAUGCACACACAUGCCUGUGUACCCACAACCAUGAAAAAAUAUAUAUGUGCACAUGCACACCACAUACACACAUGAAAAGAAUACAUAGAAGCCGGGUACAGGCCAGGGUGAUCUUCUUGCACCCACAUCAUCUUUUACAGUCAUGGGAAGCAAUUUUUAAAGAUAAACCACUAUCUGUCUGCACAUGUAAACAUACACACUUUAUAGCACAUACACACAGACACGCAUGCAUGGACACACACUUUAUAGCACACACACAUGCAUGCAUGUACACACAAUUUAUAGCAUGCACACACAUUCUCAUGCAUGGACACACACUUUAUAGCGCACACACACACAGAGACAUACACAUGCAUGUACACACUUUAUAGUACACACACAUGCAUGUACAUACACUUUAUAGCAUGCACACACACCCACCCAUGUAUGGACAUAUACUUUAUAGCACACAUACACAGACACACACAUGCAUGUACACACACUUUAUAGCACACACAUAUGCAUGCAUAUAUACACACUUUAUAGCAUACACACACAUUCACCCAUGCACGGACACACAUUUUAUAGCACACACACACAGACACACACAUGCAUGUGCACACACUUUAUAGCACACACAGACAUACACACAUGUACACACACUUUAGAGCACACACACACAUUGGGGAUUGGCUCUAAUGCUUUGUUUUAUUUCAGCUCCCAAAAAGCUGCACUUCCAGACCCGAGGGUCCCCUCCCCCAGCUGUCUUCGAUUGAUCAUAAAGAAUUGCCAGACAGCCAAUGGCUGUGGGGACUUAAACAGAACAUGAAGACGUCACUGGAGCCCGCUUCUCUUUUGUCAUGACCGGUGGUGAUGCUCUUGUCUUAAACUGGCUGUCAAGUGGCUUUAAUUGCUGUUGAUAAGAACUGUGGUCUAAUUUGUUCGCUAAUUCACUAGCUUAUCUUAAAACCUACUUAGUGUUGACUCUGUGCCAAGCUUUGGGGGUGGGGGUUGGAGUCGGGGCAGGAGUUAAGGGAAGGGGAGAAGGGGAAAGAGAACAUUAUGAGAGACACAGUGAGCCACGGUCUUCAGGUGACCAUGACUGAAGCACGCUGAUGGAACAUACUUAGGAUCAGUUAGAAAAUGGAACCAAAGGGCCAAUGCCCCUAACCAGGGCCUUCUUAUCUUGUUCCUGUGGUAGAAAGAACUUUAGCCUCUUUUAGUGUCUUGGAAGCCUCUAAUCUAGUUUGGUUUUCGAUGCUGGGGGUGGGAGCUAGGCUUUGCGCAUGCUAUUUAAGUGCUUUUAACACAGUGACGUCCCAGACCAGCUGUCCGUCCUGACCCAGCUCUCUGUUAGAAGAAUAUUCAUCUGCCUGGUGUCCACUGGCCCACUUAUCUUGUGAUGACCAGGAUGUGAGAAAUAGUGUCUAUGGCAUGAGAAAAUAAUCACAGAACCAGGAAUAACAUCUAGGAGAUAGAAAAUGAAUACACACUCUGACAAGUCA